GACGAACGCUGGCGGCGUGCCUAACACAUGCAAGUCGAACGGAAAGGCCCUGCGUUUGUGGGGUGCUCGAGUGGCGAACGCGUGAGUAACACGUGAGUAACCUGCCCUUGACUUUGGGAUAACUUCAGGAAACUGGGGCUAAUACAGGAUAGGAGAUCAUGCUGCAUGGUGGGGGUUGGAAAGUUUCGGCGGUUUGGGAUGGACUGGCGGCUUAUCAGCUUGUUGGUGGGGUAGUGGCUGACCAAGUGAGUGACGGAUAGGCGACCUGGGAGGGUGGCCGGGGUCCAGGGGCCUACGGGAGGGAGCAGAGGGCAACGUUGGGCAGUGGGGGAAAGUAUGGCACAGUGAGCGGGAGUGUGUGGCGACGGCGUUCGGUUCGUAAAGCCGUCCUUUUGGGUAAGAACCGCUUUCGGCUGAGACGAAGCGGUAGUGACGGUAAUGAGUAAAUAAGCACCGGCUAACUACGUG
rnacentral:rRNA from 1 species